rnacentral:lncRNA from 1 species
GGGAAACACGAGGUGGAAUGCAAGGACGAAGAUUCAAUUCGAAACAGGAUGUAUUACAACUUUCUAGUCUCGUGCACCAUGAUGUUUCUUGUAAAGGCGAGCAACACUUUCUUUGUCAUUUCAAGUGUCAUGGGUGCCCACAGUAACCUGAACA